GGGCCCGCACAAGCGGAGGAACAUGUGGUUUAAUUCGAUGAUACGCGAGGAACCUUACCUGGGCUUGAAAGGGGAUUGAUCUCCCGGGAAACCGGGAUUCUCUUCGGAGCAAUCUCCUAGGUGCUGCAUGGUUGUCGUCAGCUCGUGCCGUGAGGUGUCGGGUUAAGUCCCAUAACGAGCGCAACCCUUAUUGCUAGUUGCCAGCGGGUAAUGCCGGGAACUCUAGCAAAACUGCCGGUGUAAACCGAGAGGAAGGUGGGGAUGACGUCAAAUCAGCACGGCCCUUAUGUCCAGGGCUACACACGUGUUACAAUGGCCGGUACAAAGGGCAGCUACUUGGUGACAAGAUGCUAAUCUCCAAAGCCGGUCUCAGUUCGGAUUGAAGUCUGCAACUCGACUUCAUGAAGCUGGAUUCGCUAGUAAUCGCGCAUCAGCAACGGCGCGGUGAAUACGUUCCCGGGCCUU
rnacentral:rRNA from 1 species